rnacentral:rRNA from 1 species
UACGUAGGGUGCAAGCGUUGUCCGGAAUUAUUGGGCGUUAAAGAGCUCGUAGGCGGUUUGUCGCGUCUGCUGUGAAAACCCGAGGCUCAACCUCGGGCCUGCAGUGGGUACGGGCAGACUAGAGUGCGGUAAGGGGAGAUUGGAAUUCCUGGUGUAAGCGGUGGAAUGCGCAGAUAGUCAGGAGGAACACCGAUGGCGAAGGCAGCUCGGCUGGGACGUUACUGACGCUGAGACGCGAAAGCGUGGGGAGCAAACAGG